AAAUAUUGUCUCUUAGUCUGUAUUCUCUCCCACUGUUUGGUCUUUUUUUUACUCCAAAUAAGAGAACAUCCUUUUGUUUGAAAAUGUAAAUACUUUCUAAGAAUACCAUUUCAACAGUUAGGGUACACAUUAGGAAGAGUUUUUCUGAUCUUAACCACAUAAGCUAACAAAAGACAGAGAAUUCAGUGUCGUUUGCAAGAAUAUUAUACAAGUCUGACAUUGCAAAUCUUCAUUGGGUUUAUAUUAAUACAGCAUCAGGUCUGAAGUUUAUCGUAAUUACUAACAGGAUGGUCUUUCUAUCUUUUAUUGUUAUUAUUACAUGCUGUAUCUCUAUAUAGUAUCUUAUCAACAAUACAUUUUCUUUUAUGUGCCAAUGUAGCUGCCAACGAAGGAAACACCAGAGUUUGGGAGCGGCACCCUGGUUCCGGGAGCGAGGCAAAGAACACAGAACUAAAAGACCUGUUGUAUCCACUUCAACUAUAAAAAGUAGUUCCUCCUACAGCAAUGGCAUCCUUUGAAAUAUUUUAAGUUCAAGGAUAAUCUACUGGAAACAAGCCAUUCCAGGGUCAGUCUGUGCAAAAAUUCACGGAGUAUAUAGAAUGUGCACUGCAAAGCCACAGGUAAGGUCUUUCACUGCAUAUCUUUAAAUUAAGACAGUGAUGAUCAGUGUUUAAACUUUUAUGGAUGCUCCUCCUCAGAUGGAAUUUCAUGUAUCUCUCAAAUUGUUGUCCCCCUCUCACUCUCCAGAGACCCCUCCAGGUUUCCUGACCUGAGGUACCUCUCCCACACGACAAUGGUCACCAUCAUUUUCUUCUUUUCUAAAGAUCUCCCUCCACCAUCUUUCUCUCCUCAGUGUGUCAUUCUAUACCCAUAUUACUUUGUUCAUGAAGUCUCUUUUGGGAUGUAGUUAAGUACCUUCUAAAAGUAGUACCUUCUAAAAUGGCUUUUAAAAAAAAUUAAAAAAUCUGCCCAAAGCAACAAUAAAAAGGCCCCAGCAGCCCCCUCUCA
rnacentral:lncRNA from 1 species